CCGGACACCGGCCCCGCCGGCCCAGUGUUCAGACUACCUGUUCAGGCGCCUCUGCAUGUGUACAGUAGUCUGCACAUUGGUUAGGCUGGGCUCGGGCGUGCA
ensembl:miRNA MIR199A1 microRNA 199a-1